rnacentral:rRNA from 1 species
UUUAACUGAGCGUUCAGUUACUUGACGUAGACCCGAAACCGGGCGACCUACCCAUGAGCAGGAUGAAGCGAAAGUAAAAUUUCGUGGAGGUCCGAACCCACGAGCGUUGAAAAGCUCGGGGAUGACUUGUGGGUAGCGGUGAAAUUCCAAUCGAGCCCGGAGAUAGCUGGUUCUCCCCGAAAUAGCUUUAGGGCUAGCCUCAAGGUGAGAGAUACGGAGGUAGAGCACUGAAUGUCCUAGGGGGUAUUGCACCUACCGAAGACUAUCAAACUCCGAAUGCCGUCAUCUUAUACUUGGGAGUCAGACUGUGGGUGAUAAGAUUCAUAGUCGAAAGGGCAACAGCCCAGAUCGUCAGCUAAGGUCCCUAAAUGUAAGUUAAGUGGUAAAGGAUGUGGGAUUGCACAGACAACCAGGAUGUUGGCUUAGAAGCAGCCACUCAUUCAAAGAGUGCGUAAUAGCUCACUGGUCGAGUGAUCCUGCGCCGAAGAUUUCCGGGGCUAAAACUUACUACCGAAGCUACGGCAUCAGUAAUGAUGGGUAGGGGAGCUUCCCAUACGGGUUGAAGCAUGACCGUAAGGACAUGUGGACAGUAUGGGAGUGAGAAUGUUGGCAUGAGUAGCGAGAUGUGGGUGAGAAUCCCACAGGCCGUAAACCCAAGGUUUCCAGGGGAAGGUUCGUCCGCCCUGGGUUAGUCGGGACCUAAGCUGAGGCCGAAAGGCGUAGGUGAUGGACAACAGGUUGAUAUUCCUGUACUACCGAUAACCGUUUGAGAGAAGGGAUGACACAGUAGGAUAAGCUAAGCACACUGUUGGUUAUGUGUGCCCAAGCAUUGAGGCAGUCAAAGUAGGCAAAUCCGCUUUGAUAAUGCUGGGAUGUGAUGGGGAGCGAAAUUUAGUAGCGAAGUAGCUGAUUUCACACUGUCAAGAAAAGUCUCUAUCGAGGUUAAAGGUACCCGUACCGCAAACCGACACAGGUGGGUGAGGAGAGUAUCCUAAGGCCAGCGAGAGAACUGUUGUUAAGGAACUCGGCAAAAUGACCCCGUAACUUAGGGAUAAGGGGUGCCACCAUUAGGUGGCCGCAGAGAAUAGGCCCAAGCGACUGUUUACCAAAAACAUAGGUUUCUGCUAAGUCGCAAGACGAUGUAUAGGAGCUGACGCCUGCCCGGUGCUGGAAGGUUAAGGGGAUCUGUUAGAGUAAUCGAAGCAGUGAACUUAAGCCCCAGUAAACGGCGGCCGUAACUAUAACGGUCCUAAGGUAGCGAAAUUCCUUGUCGGGUAAGUUCCGACCCGCACGAAAGGCGUAACGAUUUGGGCACUGUCUCAACAACAGACUCGGUGAAAUUGUAAUUCCGGUGAAGAUGCCGGAUACCUGCGACAGGACGGAAAGACCCCAUGGAGCUUUACUGUAGCUUGACAUUGGGUCUUGGUACUACAUGUACAGGAUAGGUGGGAGGCUUUGAAACCAGGACGCCAGUUUUGGCGGAGCCAUCCUUGGGAUACCACCCUUGUAGUACUGGGACUCUAACCAUAGGCCAUGAAUCUGGUCUUGGGACACUGUCAGGUGGGCAGUUUGACUGGGGCGGUCGCCUCCCAAAAGGUAACGGAGGCGCUCAAAGGUUCUCUCAGUACGGUCGGAAAUCGUACGUAGAGUGUAAAGGCAAAAGAGAGCUUGAUUGCAAGACAUACAGGUCGAGCAAGGAUGAAAAUCGGACUUAGUGAUCCGGUGGUUCUGCGUGGAAGGGCCAUCGCUCAACGGAUAAAAGCUACCCUGGGGAUAACAGGCUUAUCUCCCCC